rnacentral:rRNA from 1 species
ACUCAAAUGAAUUGACGGGGGCUCACACAAGCGGUGGAGCAUGUGGCUUAAUUCGAGGCUACGCGAAGAACCUUAUCCUGGGCUUGACAUGUGCGAAAGCGGUAGGGAGUAGCCCGCGGAAACGUGGGGCCAACGGUAUCCAGUCCGGAACCUACCACAGGUGCUGCAUGGCUGUCGUCAGCUCGUGUCGUGAGAUGUCGGGUUAAGUCCCAUAACGAGCGAAACCCUUGUCUCCAGUUGCCAGCGAGUCAAGUCGGGGACUCUGGAGAGACUGCCGGUGUUAAACCGGAGGAAGGGGGGGAUGACGUCAAGUCCUCAUGGCCUUUAUGCCCAGGGCUGCACACGUGCUACAAUGGCGUGUACAAAGGGAAGCAAACGCGCGAGCGGGAGCAAAUCCCAAAAAACACGCCCCAGUUCAGAUCGAAGGCUGCAACUCGCCUUCGUGAAGUUGGAAUCGCUAGUAAUCGCGGGUCAGCAACACCGCGGUGAAUGUGUUCCUGAGCCUUGCACACACCGCCCGU